rnacentral:rRNA from 1 species
CACGUAGGGGGCAAGCGUUGUCCGGAUUUAUUGGGCGUAAAGAGCUCGUAGGUGGCUCGAUAAGUCGGGUGUUAAACCCCCAGGCUCAACCUGGGGCGCCACUCGAUACUGUCGUGGCUAGAGUCCGGUAGGGGAGCGUGGAAUUCCUGGUGUAGCGGUGAAAUGCGCAGAUAUCAGGAGGAACACCAGCGGCGAAGGCGGCGCUCUGGGCCGGAACUGACACUGAGGAGCGAAAGCGUAGGUAGCAAACAGG